GGAUUAGGCAUGCAAGUCGUGCGCGAAAGUCUUCGGACGAGUAAAGCGGCGAAAGGGUGAGUAACACGUAACCAACGUACCCCUCAGAUCGGGAUAACCACUGGAAACGGUGGAUAAUACUGAAUGGUCCUAGGAAGGACAUCCUUCCGAAGGUAAACGGCGGCUUCGGCUGCCGUUGAGGGAGCGGGUUGCGUCCUAUCAGCUUGUUGGUGAGGUAACGGCUCACCAAGGCUAUGACGGGUAGCGGGUCUGAGAGGAUGAUCCGCCACACUGGGACUGAGACACUGCCCAGACUCCUACGGGAGGCUGCAGUCGAGAAUCUUCCACAAUGGGCGAAAGCCUGAUGGAGCGACGCUGCGUGUAGGAUGAAGGCCUUAGGGUUGUAAACUACUGUCACGCUAUAGGAACCCGUGUAGGUUAAUAGCCUGCGCGCUUACCAAAGCGAGAGGAAGUGCCGGCUAACUCCGUGCCAGCAGCCGCGGUAAGACGGAGGGCGCAAGCGUUGUUCGGAAUCACUGGGCAUAAAGGGCGCGUAGGCGGCCAGUUCAGUCGGAUGUGAAAUCCCCCGGCCCAACCGGGGAACUGCAUUCGAUACUGACUGGCUAGAGGAUGGUAGGAGCCAAUGGAACUCCAGGUGGAACGGUGAAAUGUGUAGAUAUCUGGAGGAACACCGGUGGCGAAAGCGAUUGGCUGGGCCAUUUCUGACGCUGAGGCGCGAAAGCUAGGGGAGCGAACGGGAUUAGAUACCCCGGUAGUCCUAGCCGUAAACGAUGGGUACUGGGCAAUGGACUUACCUAUGUAGUUCAUUGCUGUAGCUAAUGUGUUAAGUACCCCGCCUGGGGAGUACGCUCGCAAGGGUAAAACUCAAAGGAAUUGACGGGGGAUCACACAAGCGGUGGAGCAUGUGGUUUAAUUCGAAGCAACGCGAAGAACCUUACCUAGCCUUGACAUCUAUGGAUUAGCUCUGUGAAAGCAGAGUGACGGCCCUUCGGGGUUGGAACAUAGACAGGUGUUGCAUGGCUGUCGUCAGCUCGUGUCGUGAGAUGUCGGGUUAAGUCCCAUAACGAGCGAAACCCUUGUCGUUAGUUGCCAGCGGGUAAUGCCGGGGACUCUAGCGAGACUGCCGUUGUUAAAACGGAGGAAGGUGGGGACGACGUCAAGUCAUCAUGGCCCUUAUGGCUAGGGCUACACACGUGCUACAAUGGUCCAUACAAAGGGUUGCCAAGUCGCGAGACCAUGCUAAUCCCAUAAAGUGGACCUCAGUUCGGAUUGGAGGCUGAAAUUCGCCUCCAUGAAGCUGGAAUCGCUAGUAAUCGCGUAUCAGCAAUGACGCGGGUGAAUAUGUUCCUGAUCCUUGUACACACCGCCCGUCAAGCCAUGGAAGCGGGGAGCGCUCGAAGUCGCUCUGUCCAACCUUCGGGGGGACGGCGCCGAAAGCGAGCUCCGUGACUAGGACUAAGUCGUAACAAGGUAGCCGUAGGGGAACCUGCGGCUGGAUCACCUCCUUACUACCGGAUGUAGGUAGACCAUUCAGCCAUUUGUUUGGCGAGCAGCGCUAUUCUGUGCUGCGAGUGGUUAACCAUAGGCAUUCCAGGGCAGACGGAGAUCACCCUUUCCCUACACCUCGUGUGUCGGUCUUGGGCUCAAAACCAUUUUGGUUUGGGCCAGGACUGAUCCGCGGGGGACCAACGUGGGCCCUGCUGCCAGGCAGACUGCUCCCCUCGGAGCACGCCUGGCUCUUGCCUGUGAACCACGCACCCUAAUGGGCCUGUAGCUCAGCUGGUUAGAGCGUUCGCCUGAUAAGCGAGAGGUCACAGGUUCGACUCCUGUCAGGCCCACCAUUGGUCCCUCGAGUCUUGCCUGGUCCAAGUGGCCGGCGCAGCACACACCCAUGGGGGCGUAGCUCAGGUGGUAGAGCACCUGGUUUGCAACCAGGGGGUCGUCGGUUCGAGUCCGGUCGCCUCCACCACCCAAACGCCGAACUCCGGCUUGAUCCCAUAGUGCGGGUUUGGAGAGGUCACCCAGGGAAACAGCAAAGACAUCACGCCAGGCUCUUGAGCCCAGUGUGAUGUCGUUCUUUGAAAACAAGAUGGUUCGAGGAAAGCAUCAGCCACGAGUAAAACAAGAAAGAGCGUGGUUAAGCUAAGAAGGGUGCAUGGUGGAUGCCUAGGUGUCCAGAGCCGAUGAAGGUCGUGGCAUAGCUGCGAUAAGCCCCGGGUAGCCGUCAAGCAGGCUUUGAUCCGGGGAUUACCGAGAUCGGGAAACCGGGCGGGAUUUUCUCCCGCCAGUCAAUGUACUGGGAACGCAGGGAACUGAAACAUCUAAGUACCGCAGAAA
rnacentral:rRNA from 1 species